AUUGAACGCUGGCGGCAUGCCUUACACAUGCAAGUCGAACGGCAGCACGGGUGCUUGCACCUGGUGGCGAGUGGCGAACGGGUGAGUAAUAUAUCGGAACGUACCUUAUUGUGGGGGAUAACGCAGCGAAAGCUGUGCUAAUACCGCAUAAUCCCUUAGGGGGAAANCGGGGGACCGUAAGACCUCGCGCAAUUAGAGCGGCCGAUACCUGAUUAGCUAGUUGGUGAGGUAAAGGCUCACCAAGGCGACGAUCAGUAUCUGGUUUGAGAGGACGAUCAGACACACUGGAACUGAGACACGGUCCAGACUCCUACGGGAGGCAGCAGUGGGGAAUUUUCCGCAAUGGGCGAAAGCCUGACGGAGCAAUACCGCGUGAGGGAAGAAUGCCUAUGGGUUGUAAACCUCUUUUUUCAGGGAGGAAUAAAAUGACGUGUACCUGAAGAAUAAGCAUCGGCUAACUCCGUG
rnacentral:rRNA from 1 species